rnacentral:rRNA from 1 species
GGUAGCCGGCUUAUAAGUCGGAUUGGAAUCCCCGAGCUUAACUUGGGAAUUGCAUUCGAUACUGGUGAGCUAGAGUAUGGGAGAGGAUGGUAGAAUUCCAGGUGUAGCGGUGAAAUGCGUAGAGAUCUGGAGGAAUACCGAUGGCGAAGGCAGCCAUCUGGCCUAAUACUGACGCUGAGGUACGAAAGCAUGGGGAGCAAACAGGAUUAGAUACCCUGGUAGUCCAUGCCGUAAACGAUGUCUACUAGCCGUUGGGGCCUUUGAGGCUUUAGUGGCGCAGCUAACGCGAUAAGUAGACCGCCUGGGGAGUACGGUCGCAAGACUAAAACUCAAAUGAAUUGACGGGGGCCCGCACAA